GGACGAACGCUGGCGGCGUGCCUAAUACAUGCAAGUAGAACGCUGAAGAGAGGAGCUUGCUCUUCUUGGAUGAGUUGCGAACGGGUGAGUAACGCGUAGGUAACCUGCCUUGUAGCGGGGGAUAACUAUUGGAAACGAUAGCUAAUACCGCAUAACAAUGGAUGACACAUGUCAUUUAUUUGAAAGGGGCAAUUGUUCCACUACAAGAUGGACCUGCGUUGUAUUAGCUAGUAGGUGAGGUAAUGGCUCACCUAGGCGACGAUACAUAGCCGACCUGAGAGGGUGAUCGGCCACACUGGGACUGAGACACGGCCCAGACUCCUACGGGAGGCAGCAGUAGGGAAUCUUCGGCAAUGGGGGCAACCCUGACCGAGCAACGCCGCGUGAGUGAAGAAGGUUUUCGGAUCGUAAAGCUCUGUUGUAAGUCAAGAACGGGUGUGAGAGUGGAAAGUUCACACUGUGACGGUAGCUUACCAGAAAGGGACGGCUAACUACGUG
rnacentral:rRNA from 1 species